UGGCUCAGUGGUAGAGCGUUUGCCUGGCAUGCAAGAGGCACUGAGUCCGAUCCUCAG
rnacentral:tRNA from 1 species